rnacentral:rRNA from 1 species
GCAGCCGCGGUAAUACGGAAGGUUCGGGCGUUAUCCGGAUUUAUUGGGUUUAAAGGGAGCGUAGGCCGUUGUUUAAGCGUGUUGUGAAAUGUCCCGGCUCAACCGUGGCACUGCAGCGCGAACUGGACGACUUGAGUGCGCGGAACGUAUGCGGAAUUUGUGGUGUAGCGGUGAAAUGCUUAGAUAUCACGAAGAACUCCGAUUGCGAAGGCAGCAUACGGCAGCGCUACUGACGCUGAAGCUCGAAAGCGCGGGUAUCGAACAGGAUUAGAUACCCC